rnacentral:rRNA from 1 species
AUUGAACGCUGGCGGCAUGCUUUACACAUGCAAGUCGAACGGUAACAGGCCGCAAGGUGCUGACGAGUGGCGAACGGGUGAGUAAUGCAUCGGAACGUGCCCAGUCGUGGGGGAUAACGCAGCGAAAGCUGCGCUAAUACCGCAUACGAUCUAUGGAUGAAAGCGGGGGACCGUAAGGCCUCGCGCGAUUGGAGCGGCCGAUGUCAGAUUAGGUAGUUGGUGGGGUAAAGGCCUACCAAGCCAACGAUCUGUAGCUGGUCUGAGAGGACGACCAGCCACACUGGGACUGGGACACGGCCCAGAAUCCUACGGGAGGCAGCAGUGGGGAAUUUUGGACAAUGGGCGCAAGCCUGAUCCAGCAAUGCCGCGUGCAGGAAGAAGGCCUUCGGGUUGUAAACUGCUUUUGUACGGAACGAAAAGGCUCUGGUUAAUACCUGGGGCUCAUGACGGUACCGUAAGAAUAAGCACCGGCUAACUACGUGCCAGCCGCCGCAGUAAGAC